GAUGAACGCUGGCGGCGUGCUUAACACAUGCAAGUCGAACGAUGAAGCCCAGCUUGCUGGGUGGAUUAGUGGCGAACGGGUGAGUAACACGUGAGUAACCUGCCCUUGACUCUGGGAUAAGCCUGGGAAACUGGGUCUAAUACUGGAUAUGACUUCUCAUCGCAUGGUGGGGGGUGGAAAGAUUUAUUGGUCUUGGAUGGACUCGCGGCCUAUCAGCUUGUUGGUGAGGUAAUGGCUCACCAAGGCGACGACGGGUAGCCGGCCUGAGAGGGUGACCGGCCACACUGGGACUGAGACACGGCCCAGACUCCUACGGGAGGCAGCAGUGGGGAAUAUUGCACAAUGGGCGCAAGCCUGAUGUAGCGACGCCGCGUGAGGGAUGACGGCCUUCGGGUUGUAAACCUCUUUCAGUAGGGAAGAAGCGAGAGUGACGGUACCUGCAGAAGAAGCGCCGGCUAACUACGUG
rnacentral:rRNA from 1 species